rnacentral:rRNA from 1 species
CAGCAGCCGCGGUAAUACAGAGGGUGCGAGCGUUAAUCGGAUUUACUGGGCGUAAAGCGUGCGUAGGCGGCUUCUUAAGUCGGAUGUGAAAUCCCUGAGCUUAACUUAGGAAUUGCAUUCGAUACUGGGAAGCUAGAGUAUGGGAGAGGAUGGUAGAAUUCCAGGUGUAGCGGUGAAAUGCGUAGAGAUCUGGAGGAACACCGAUGGCGAAGGCAAUCCCCUGGGCCUGUACUGACGCUCAUGCACGAAAGCGUGGGGAGCAAACAGGAUUAGAUCCCCCGUAGUCCCUGUCUCUUAUACA